rnacentral:rRNA from 1 species
UACGGGGGGGGUAAGCGUUGUUCGGAAUUACUGGGCGUAAAGGGCUCGUAGGUGGCCAACUAAGUCAGACGUGAAAUCCCUCAGCUUAACUGGGGAACUGCGUCUGAUACUGGAUGGCUUGGAUUCGGGAGAGGAAUGCGGAAUUCCAGGUGUAGCGGUGAAAUGCGUAGAUAUCUGGAGGAACACCGGUGGCGAAGGCGGCAUUCUGGACCGAUAUUGACGCUGAGGAGCGAAAGCCAGGGGAGCAAACGGG